UACAUGAAUGCAGCUAGACUUUGUAUUAUGUUCAAAUCCAUGCAGUAGUGUUCUCUAAUAGAUUGUUUGAAAUGAAGGAUUCCCCAGAGGCAACCUGCUUACCACUGUGCAAAGAAGACCAGAGGAGGAGACUACUAUUUUUUUUUGACUUAAGCACAAAGAGCAAGAAGCCAGUAGAGUUGAGAGAUGAUGUAUCCAUUUCUGUGAGUUUCUGAUGGUGUCGUCCUGCUGUGAGGCAAAAAGUGAGAGAAGACCUAUUUAUAGAACGCUCAGAUACUGCUCUGGCAUCAUAUCUGCUUGAAUGCUGCUUCUUGCCAUUCUAGUAAUGUACCAAACCUCUGAUACUAUAACCAAGUCACAGGUCAAGACAAUCAUCCCUUUCAUAUCCUUGGUCAAGUGCAGGCAAGACAAUGGUAGGGACUACUUCUGGAUGAUGAAGCUGACUGCUGUAAAGGAUGAUCUACCCAAGUGUUUUGAUGAUGCGGCAACCAGAAGAAGAUAGACUUUCACAACCACGGGAUAGAAGCCAAGCACACUGCUCCCCUGGAUUCUGUGUCGGAAGGGGACAGAAUCUUGUGGUUUGUGAAGUGCUGGUGAUCUCUUGCUUCAGUGUACUGCUUUCUGGGAUUCCACAUGUGUGCUACUAUACCCAGCUCAGAAAGUUUUGAAAUAAAAUAAUACACGGCAGAAAGACAAUAGUAUACAAUGAAAAAUGUGUCACUUACACUUAAUUGAUUUUCAAAUUAAAUAUGAAAAGUAAUAUGAAGUGAGAAUAUUUUAUAAAAUUUGAUUUAGUUCUAAAACAAAGUGCAGCCUGAUCAUUUUGUAUGACCUUUGGUACUUCCUGUUCAUUUUUAAAAAUUAAUUAAUUAAUAUCCCAAAUGCUGCCCCUCUCCCCCAUCCACUGCUCAGAGUUCCUCAUCUCUUCUCUGGAGUGUUGGCCCACUCUCUAUGUUUUCCCCCACCCUGGCACAUCAAGGGUCUGCAGGGUUGGUGUAUCCUCUCUCACUGUGGCCGGACAAGCCAGCCCUGGUCCGCACAUGUAUGUUCUGUAGUUGAUGGCUCAGUCUCUGAGAGCUGCCAAGAGUCCAGAUUAGUUGACUCUGUUGGUUUUCCCGUGGAGUUCCUAGCCCCUUCAGGACCUUUACUCUUUCCCCCAAGUCUUUCAUAAGAGUCCCCGACUUCCAUCCAAAGUUUGGCUGAGGGUAUCUGCAUCUGUUUCAGUGACCUGCUGAGUGGAGUCUUUCGGAAGACAGUUAUGCUAGGUUACUGUCUGAAGUACAACAGAGUAUCAUUAGUGUCAGAGAUGGAUGCUUGCCCAUGGGAUCUGUUUGAGGUCAGGUUUGUCACUGGUCAGCCAUUUCUUCAGUUAUCUACUCCAUUUUUGACCCUACCUUGCUUUUAGACAAGACAAAUUGGGGGUCAAAAGUUUUGUGUGUUAGUGUCCCCAUUCCUCCACUGGGGGUCCUGCCUGGCUACAGAAGGUAAUCUCUUAUGGUUGCAUGUCCCCACUGUUAGGGGACAUGAAAUUAGGUCACUCGAAUUAACGAAUUAACUUCUGGGAUCCCUCCCCUUUCUCAGGUCUGGGAUUUUCCUAGAGAUUCUGUCUAUACCGCCCACGCCCACUCCUCAGCAGGUACAGGUUUCCAUUCAUUCUCCUGUCUCGCUGGCUCUCUCCCCUGUUUCUCCUCACACCUGAUUCUGAACCCUCAACCUCUCUUCCACCCAGUUUCCUUUCUUCCUUUGCCUCCUCUUGUCUGUGUACUGGAGGGAAUUGUGGAGACCUCUGGCAUGAGCAGAAAGGGCAUGACCGAGGGUGGGGGGGGUGCCACCACUGCUGCUGCUUUGGUGCCAUUUACCAGGCAGCUACUG
rnacentral:sRNA from 1 species